AUCCAUAUCUGUCCAUCUCUCCUCUCUCGCCUUGCACACGAGCCUCAGCCUGUGCGCUCCGAGUCCUCCGACGCCGCCGCCUCUUCACGCCCCUCGCCACCGCUGCUAUCGCUCCUCUCCAUCCACGCCACCUUGGCCCACCUCCCUCCAUGUGCCCAGUGAGUGCCCUGCGAGUCCCUCUCCUUCCACGCGCCGACGAGCCGCUAUCCCCUCCUCGUCGUCGCUGGAUGGGGACGAGGAGCUCGGUGACGGCGCGCGGGAUUGGGGAGCAGCUCUCCGGCAGCGAUGAGCUCCAACGAUGCCGCCACCUCUCCCUUCAAUCUUGACGGCGGCAUGGCGACGGGGCUCCUCGAGCGGCUGCGGCGCAGAUCCAGCCCACACCGCUGCCCAGGGGAGGGGGUGCACCAGCAGCACCACUAGUACUCCCUCCGUUCUAAAAUAUAACAAUUUUUAGCGUUUAGAAUUUGUCCCAAAAUAUAUAACAAUUUAUCCACCAAUAUUCUCUUCUCAACCAAUCACUUUUCCCACCUACAUUCACUACUCAUCCAAACUUUCUUAAUAAUCGUGUCCAACUCUAAAACUUUUUAUAUUUUUAAACGGAGGGAGUAAUUUAUAUAUUUUUUAAAACAAUAUUAUAGUAAAUUAUAAUUUUUUUGCGUGUUGUUAUCAUCAGCAAUAACAGUGGAAUGCACUAACAAAGAAGCAGAGAUAAAAAACUGCACUAACCAUAACCAUUCGAUCUGGAAAAAAAGAUAGCUAUUAUCGCGUAAUUGAAAAGUGAAGGAGCUAUUCAAAUGAAUCCAUUGACUGGUAAAGAAUUAGCAAAUAGAACAGAAGAUAGAGGAGGCAAGGAAUUGCCUGUGCCCAGCCUCGGUGACAUCCCAUCAUCUUGCUGAGGCGUCGAUUAAUUAGUCAUCCAGGAUUAAUUAUGGCAUUGGCGGUAAGAGGCGAGGAUUAAUUGUGGCAUUAGCGGCAAGAGGCGUCGGCACUGGUAGGGACAAAGAGGAAGAGCGAGUCGCCAGAAAGAAAAAAAAAGAGAAGAGGCGUGCGUGUGCGUACGUCCUCACGCUGAUGAGGCAAGCAGGACUGAACUGGGCUCCUAUCGUGGUUAUGGUUGUAGGCUGUUCGUGCUUCAAUGGCCUGAUUUCUAGCGUGGGGGUACACCAAGCUUAGCUGAGGGGGUGCACAUAUGGUUACUAAGGGGUAUUAAGCACUAAUUUUUCUUUUGCAACCGGGUGCCUAGGAACCCCAUAACACUACUUAGCUUCGUCCCUGCCGCUGGCCCCUCCUCCUCGUCGUUGGAUGGGAGCGAGGAGGUCGGUGGUGGCGUUCAGGAGAAGGGCAUUACAGCGAGCUAAAAAGGAGAUGAUGAUAUAGACGCAAUAUAUUUUGGUCUAUCCGUGUUCUUCAAACCAGGUAUAUGCAUGUCACAUUUUAAUGCAUGUGUAGUGGUUUAUUUUUAAUGCUAAGAGAGUAACAGAUCAACACAUAAUGUGUAUAUGCCUUCUUUGCUGUAUAAUCUGUGGAUAGUAGUUAAAUGCCAACAGAAUCGAGACCAUAUCCUAAUUAUAUUCUGUUGUUUAUCCAUCUUCCUUGACAGUUCUUGCAUUGUAUGUGUCAGCUCAUGUGUGAAGUGUUGUGGUUACAAAUUAGUUUUUGACUUUUAUCUCUACUUAAAUUUGCCGUUUUACAAUAUCAGGUUUUUACUGAGAGGUGCUGCACAAGUGUUAUGUUGUUAUGUACUAGAAUCUGUUGGAAAUAGUCCCACAUUGCUAAUCUAGGGGAAGUUGAACCAAACUUAAAAGUGGAGGGAGCCCUCACCUCUUGAGGUAGCUUUUGAGGUGUAGCAAGGCUUUCUCCUGGUUGGGCCAACGUCUCCCGGUUUUGGGCCAACAAGUGGUAUCAGAGGCAAACCCACAAUUUCUAGUGCUUGUGCACACUCAGGGUGGUGUAAGCCCAAAGCCCAGUGGACUGCGGGUGUGAGACCUGUAUGUGCCCGUGUGUGGGGCCGGUCAGUGGACCGCGGGUGUGAGUCCCAUAUGUGCGCGUGUGUGGGGCCGGUCAGGGCUAAGGGGCGCCAAUGUGUGACGGGGGAGAUAAUGUGGGACUUAUUCCCAACAGAAUCUAAUGUGUGUUCAGCUGGAAUGGUACUUUACAUUUUGCUUAGUGGAGUGCCGCCAUUUCUGGAAUAUCAGGUGUUAAAUUUGAAAUCCAAUAUAUUUCUGGAAUUGCUAAAGGAAUAUUUGAUGCAGUUCUGAAGGGUCACAUUGAUUUUCAAUCAGUUCUAAAGAUAUCUGACAGUGCAAAGGAUCUUAUAGAAAAAAAAAAGCUCUCUCAUUGUUCUUCAGAGCGUUUGAAGGACCAUGAAGUGCUAAGUAUAUUUGACAUAUUUCUUCACCUAAAUUUGUUGGCCCUUUGUUUCAUUGCCUGUCUAUAUAGCUGAGUAGCUCUGCAUUUUUGUCAUAACAUAUAUUGAUGCAUAAUUUUUAUUUUCACUAAUUAUUUAAUAUGCACAAACCUUUUGAUUUUUUGACUGAUAUAUAUGUUAAUAUCAGGACAUCCUUGGAUCUGUGAAAAAUGGAGUUGCCACUUAUCAAGCUCUAGAUAACAGUGUUAUCUCUUGGCCCAAACAAUUCUCUGCAAUGAACAAGUUAAAAAAGUUGGCUUUGAGAGAUUUUAUGGUCAGAAAGAUCAACUGGAGCUGGCACUUUAUAUUCUCCGAAACUCUGUCAGGCUAAAGUCAAUGAAGAUAAAUCCAAAGCCUAUAAUUGCUGAAUAUCUUGGAGAGGUGAGAGAAAGUGAAGGAUUUUUCUUUCUGGGAUGGCUACCAGGUUGCUCUUAAGUUUCUCUGCAAAGAGGAUCGCUAUAAUGUUGUUGAUGUUAAGGAAGUUGGGCUUAGUGUUAUUGAGAGCACACCAGAUCUCUAGCUAAACUGGUCCAAUAUGUAUCAAGUUCCUAGCAGAAAACUCUUGCCAGCAAAGAAGGCAAGAAAGAAAAUGCAUAGACCCUUGAAUUUUAUUGAAUAGUUAGUUUAUAUGAAACUUUCUUUACUGAAUAUA